ACCGCCUUUGGUCUGGGGACCCUCCGUGCCUCCGGGGCUUAAGGAACGCGCCGAGAGAAGAGGCGGGAGGCUUAUAUCGAAACAGCCACCGCACACGAGUCACCUAAGUGCCAGACCACGAACCUGAAAUUCGGGGAUUAAGUCAUUUGCCUAAAGCCAUACAACUUGCUGAACGGGAUUUAUGAAAAAAGCAACAAUCUCGGGCUCCACCUCUCCCGCCCGGAGGCGGCCAUUGGAACGCUGUUAGCUUUCUUCUGGUGGUUACCCAGGUAUCUCGCUCGACAGGCUUGUGUGGCCAUUUCUUGAGGACCAAUUUAGGAAGUUCAUUAAGCAUGGACUCGAGCCUCACCACCCCUGGACGGACCCUGCCCAUUUUUAGUUUUCCUUUUGGUUUCCUCUCUAACUUUAAACACCCUUCUCAUUAUUUUUGUCACCUCCCACUGCUAACCUCUACCUUUGUGUUGUUAAGGCUGAACAGGACACCAUCCUGGGCCCACAAUUAAGUCUGUGGGUUCCUACUUAAAGGGGCAUGGUGGUUUAUGUGGUUCGGCCUCAGUAAACAAUGUAUUUCAGACUCGGUUGGACGGCUAUGAUUACAUGGCUUGUAUUGUACAAAGGUUUAUUCUCCCUGUACCAAGUACCUUUCUUUUCUUGCACGAUUAGCCUGGAUCACAGCUUCGGUUUCUUUUACACUUUCCAUCAAAUCAAUCCUCCACAGCCACUGGGUGAUCCCGGUUGUGCCUCCUUGAAUCCUCUAAUCUGGCUGCAUGGCUGGUGGGAGUCUGGGGAUCGCCCUUCUUCCUCUGCUACACAAAACCGAUUCCCUCCAUCCCCCUACCCCAGCUUUGCCCUCAGACAAAAAGACAGCAGUAGUCACAGGAUGGUUAAUUUUAUAUUCAGUACAAAUGUUUAUUUUUGCAAUGAGAACUGCACAAAAAAAAAAAAAAAAAAAAACCUUUAGUAUAUAAGUGAAAAGUCUACGAAUUCCCUUCUACAAAUGUCUAAAGUGUUUAAUACAAGUCUCAGAUUCACUGACAUAAUUAUUGGCCAAGCGAUCCGUGCAUACAGUACAGUGGGGGGCUUGUACACACCUCUUACUCUUGUAUAGGACUAAGAUUUCUAGUACUGUGGGAGGGAAUGGGAAAUGGCCAGAGAAAUUAAAUAGUAGAUCCAAGUUCUAAUUACAACCCAGUUAGAGGAACACCCAUCAGGGAGGUGUGGAGAGGGCCAUGGCAGAAUUAAAUCUUUAGAAGGAAGGUGCAGACAAAACCACUUCUCCAGCUAAACAGUCGGACCUGGCCUGGGGAAGUUACUGAACAAAACACGGAACAGAAGUGAGGGGGUGGGAUGAGAUGGAAGAAACCCCAAAGAGCCAAUGAAGUCCCACUUGAACUGGCAGCACAGUGGCACAUCGAGGAAGUGCCUGCUGGGUGUGGGGCAAGGGUAGGGAGGCAAGUGGGGGCCUCUGGCCGGUCGCCUGAACUACACUCUUGCCAAGAGGUUUCGGCAGAUCCCAAACACAAGAUGAUACAAGGGCUUUUCCGGUUGAAACAGAAAAGGGAGAUAGGGGUUAAGAAACAGUGCUAGAAAUGUUUCAGUUUACGUCUCUGCACACAUAAAUGAUACACUUUCAUCCUACAUCCUAAGGGCCACUCUUGAGUGCCCCCCUCGCCUUGUGGCACACAGGCAAGGGAGGCAGGGUAGCCAUACGGCAGGAUCUCUCGGGCAGGCAUGUGUGCGUGCGUGUCUACAUGCAUGGGGCGGGGGAGGAUCCCAUUUUGGGGGAUGGACACUUAUCUAAGAACAUCUGGUUAACCCUGAGCUUAAAUGAAAGGAGCAGUUAAGGUAGAGGCAGGCAAGGUGGCAGAAGUGGCCCAAGUCCUCUGGUGAGUGGGGGACCAGGAUGGAGGAGGGCGAAGGGGGGAAAAUACUGUCUUGAAUCUGGCCAGGUUCUGCUGGAGCAUGUCACCCCACUAGGAGACCAGGGUCCAUAGAAAGAAUGGGUGCCUGGACUCCCUGUCACAGCUUCAACGUGGUCACAGGAGACGGCCUAGGUGGCCCUGGUGGUAGUUCUUGUACAAAGGUGGUUUGGGAUUUGGGGGAGGGGAGGGGGGGCGGGGGAGCGGCCCUGGGCCUAACCUAGGCAACAGGUGGUUCACAAAGAAAUGUCAGGAAGACACCAGCAUUAAAAAAGAGAGAUGUGUUUAUUCCAUGAUCAGUACAGACCAAAUGCAUAUUCACCGUAUGAAAGUCAAACCAGUCAGUGACUCCAGAGUUUGGCCAACACUGAGGCACCAGCGACGUGGUGUAGAGUGGGUUCUCAUGGCACACGUAACCUCACCAAGGGCUCCAAUUAUAAAAUUAAAAAAAAAAAAAAAAAAAAAAAAAAAA